rnacentral:sRNA from 1 species
CCGUAACGCACUUCUUGAGCGUUUCCUCCCUAAACUCGGGCCGCGCCUUUGGGUGCGGCCCUUUUUUUAUCCGAG